CCCUUAGAUGUUCUGGGCCGCACGCGCGCUACACUGAUGCAUUCAACGAGUGUACCUUGGCCGAGAGGCCUGGGCAACCUUUUGAACGUGCAUCGUGAUAGGGAUAGAUUAUUGCAAUUAUUAAUCUUGAACGAGGAAUUCCUAGUAAACGCAGUUCAUCAAACUGCAUUGAUUACGUCCCUGCCCUUUGUACACACCGCCCGUCGCUACUACCGAUUGAAUGGUUUAGUGAGGACUCCUGAUUGGCGCCGCCGCCCCGGCAACGGAGCAGCGGACUGCCGAAAAGUUGUUCAAACUUGAUCAUUUAGAGGAAGUAAAAGUCGUAACA
rnacentral:rRNA from 1 species